rnacentral:rRNA from 1 species
ACGCUCGACACCUACGGAAGGCAGCAGUGGGGAAUAUUGCACAAUGGGGGAAACCCUGAUGCAGCAACGCCGCGUGAAGGAAGACGGUUUUCGGAUUGUAAACUUCUGUUCUUAGUGAAGAUAGUGACGGUAGCUAAGGAGCAAGCCACGGCUAACUACGUGUCAGCAGCCGCGGUAAUCUGAGCGGGCUGGCAAGGC